rnacentral:rRNA from 1 species
CCAGCACCCCGAGUGGUCGGGACGAUUAUUGGGCCUAAAGCAUCCGUAGCCGGUUUUACAAGUCCUCCGUUAAAUCCAACUGCUUAACAGAUGGGCCGCGGAGGAUACUAUAAGACUAGGAGGCAGGAGAGGCAAGCGGUACUCAGUGGGUAGGGGUAAAAUCCGUUGAUCCAUUGAAGACCACCAGUGGCGAAGGCGGCUUGCCAGAAUGCGCUCGACGGUGAGGGAUGAAAGCUGGGGGAGCAAAACCGGAUUAGAUACCCGGGUAGUCCCAGCUGUAAACGAUGCAGACUCGGUGAUGGACUAGCUUUAUGCUAGUCCAGUGCCGCAGGGAAGCCGUUAAGUCCUGCCGCCUGGGUAGUACGGUCGCAAGACUG